rnacentral:rRNA from 1 species
GUUAAGCGACUAAGCGUACACGGUGGAUGCCCUGGCAGUCAGAGGCGAUGAAGGGCGUGCUAAUCUGCGAUAAGCGCCGGUAAGGUGAUAUGAACCGUUAUAACCGGCGAUACCCGAAUGGGGAAACCCAGUGUGACUCGUCACACUAUCAUUAACUGAAUCCAUAGGUUAAUGAGGCGAACCGGGGGAACUGAAACAUCUAAGUACCCCGAGGAAAAGAAAUCAACCGAGAUUCCCCCAGUAGCGGCGAGCGAACGGGGAGGAGCCCAGAGCCUGAAUCAGCAUGUGUGUUAGUGGAAGCGUCUGGAAAGGCGCGCGAUACAGGGUGACAGCCCCGUACACAAAAGCGCAUGUGCUGUGAGCUCGAUGA